rnacentral:sRNA from 1 species
UGACAUCAUUGGUUUGCCGGAAGUUCGU